rnacentral:rRNA from 1 species
GACGGAGGAGGGCUAGCGUUUGUUCGGAAUUACUGGGCGUAAAGCGCGCGCAGGCGGCUUUGUAAGUUAGAGGUGAAAGCCCGGGGCUCAACUCCGGAAUUGCCUUUAAGACUGCAUCGCUUGAAUCAUGGAGAGGUGAGUGGAAUUCCGAGUGUAGAGGUGAAAUUCGUAGAUAUUCGGAAGAACACCAGUGGCGAAGGCGACUCACUGGACAUGUAUUGACGCCUGAGGUAACGGA